GGGAUUCAUUGUCUCUUUUCUCAUCAUUUCCCAUGGGAUUCAUUUUUCCCCUCUUACAGAAGUUAAUUUUUUUUUAAAUUGUUGUCUUGCAUCUGACAUCAACUAAAAAAAUAUUGUAAAAACAGUCCAAUGAUAAUCAAAACAGUACCAUGACAAUACUCUUUGGCUAUCAGAUGAACUCAAACAUUUCUAAAGUAUUUGCACAUCUUGGCGCUCCUCCUUUUUCAACAAACAACAAUCUUUUCCCAAGGCGACCUCUCAUCCACUUCAAUCACAUCCCCCUAAUGAGACUCUACUACACGAUCAUGGAUAGAGUUUCAAAAAACAAUACAUGGCCGUGUAGUAGGGUCUCGCUAUGGAGGAUGAGAUUAAAGUGAAUGAAAAGGCGGCUUGGGAAAUGAUUGGUCCUUGUCACGUCGAAAACAAAGUAGCGCUAAGAUGUGGAAAUGCUAUUGAGAUGUUUGAGUUUGACAACGGAAAACAAUCAGACGACAAUCAACUGGAGGAGCUCCUCCGGUAAUUAGACAA